rnacentral:lncRNA from 1 species
GCGAUAGCGACGAAUGGUGGUAACGGCGAAAAUGGUGGCAGACGGUAGAUGGCGUGGUUUUGGUUGAUUUUUUUGAAGGGUGACGACGGGAUUUGAGGUGUGAUGCAGUUAAGGUAGUGGGAAAGGUGGUUUAGGUGUUUGGUGAUAGAGAAAAAGAAGAAAUAGAUAAUAUGGUCUUUGGAGGAGGGAGAAGCGGUGCCGUGAGAAUGAAGGUUUCAAUCGACAAGAGUGCGGUACGUGGGUGAGGAAGGCCGUCGAGUGGGUUGAGGUGUCGGACGGCAAAUAGAGAAAAAGAGAACGAUGGUGCUUCACGAAGUGGCGUUAAAUGAUGGUGGUAGCGGUAGUGGUGAUACAAUGGUGACUCACGAGGUCCGUGCUCGACGGAGAUGGCAAAUUGUGAUGGUGGUAGCGACGCUCAACGGUGGCGGUAGCGUGGUUUUGUGUUGGGUUAGGGUUUUUUUUGUUUUGAAGAAGAUCGAUAAGAUAAAGAAAAAAUGGUUUGAGGAUUUAGGGAUUUGGGUGGUUUAAUUUUUUUCUUUUUUUCCUCUUUUUUUCCUAUGUGGCCGGUUGGGCCAUCUUGCCCAUUUCUCUUUUUUUUCUUUUGGGCCAGCUAGGCUGUUCGACCCAAUUUUUUUCUCCUCUUGGGUUUGUUUGUUUGGGAUUGUAAGGGUUUUGGGUAUUGGAUUUAUUAUGUGGGUAAUUUGGUAUUUGG